rnacentral:rRNA from 1 species
CUACGGGAGGCAGCAGUGAGGAAUAUUGGUCAAUGGGCGAGAGCCUGAACCAGCCAAGUCGCGUGAGGGAAGACGGUCCUAUGGAUUGUAAACCUCUUUUGUCAGGGAGCAAAAGAUACCACGUGUGGUAUAUCGAGAGUACCUGAAGAAAAAGCAUCGGCUAACUCCGUGCCAGCAGCCGC